AACUUCUCAAGAGUUGACCUCGAAUCAGGUAG
rnacentral:rRNA from 1 species